UACAGAGGUCUCAAGCGUUGUUCGGAUUCAUUGGGCGUAAAGGGUGCGUAGGUGGCGGGGUAAGUCAGGUGUGAAGUCUCGGGGCUCAACCCCGAAACUGCACUUGAUACUGCCUUGCUCGAGUACUGGAGAGGAGAUUGGAAUUUACGGUGUAGCAGUGAAAUGCGUAGAUAUCGUAAGGAAGACCAGUGGCGAAGGCGAAUCUCUGGACAGUUACUGACACUGAGGCACGAAGGCCAGGGGAGCAAACGGG
rnacentral:rRNA from 1 species